rnacentral:rRNA from 1 species
GCGUGCCUAACACAUGCAAGUCGAGCGAGGGAUUUAUGACGGAUUCCUUCGGGAUGAAGACAUAAAUCACCUAGCGGCGGACGGGUGAGUAACGCGUGAGGAACCUACCUCCUACAAGGGGAUAGCCUCGGGAAACUGGGAUUAAUACCCUAUGACACUUAAGGAUCGCAUGAUCUUUAGGUUAAAGCGAUAUAGCGGUAGGAGAUGGCCUCGCGUCCCAUUAGCUAGUUGGUGAGGUAACGGCUUACCAAGGCGACGAUGGGUAGCCGGCCUGAGAGGGUGAACGGCCACACUGGAACUGAGACACGGUCCAGACUCCUACGGGAGGCAGCAGUGGGGAAUAUUGCACAAUGGGCGAAAGCCUGAUGCAGCGACGCCGCGUGAGCGAAGAAGGCCUUCGGGUCGUAAAGCUCUGUCCUAUGGGACGAUAAUGACGGUACCAUAGGAGGAAGCCCCGGCUAACUACGUGCCAGCAGCCGCGGUAAUACGUAGGGGGCGAGCGUUGUCCGGAAUUACUGGGCGUAAAGGGUACGUAGGCGGCUAGGUAAGUCAGAUGUGAAAUCCA